rnacentral:rRNA from 1 species
AAGUUGAUUUUGCUUUUUUAAUUAGUUAUUAGAAUGAUAGUUUUAUAUGUUAGUUUUUUGCGUGAUUUUGGAUAUAUCUUAAUGAUUUAUUUCUGUUUAUUUAUAGUUUAUAAUUUUGGUCUUAAUAAAUAGGUUUAGCACCAGCUAAUUUUUUAAGGAUUGUAUAAAGUUGUGCCAGCUUACGCGGUUACACAAUUUAAUUCAAGUUAAUUUUUUUGGUUUAUAUUAAUUUUUUUUAUUAGGAAUUUAAUUUUUUUUAUUAAGUGAAAUUUUUAAUUUUGAUUAUAUUUUCUUGGUUAAGAUUAUAUGAAAUUUAGGGUUAUAAACUAGGAUUAGAUACCCUAUUAUUCUAAAUGUAAAUUUAACAACCAUAGUAUUAAUAGUUAUGAUCUUUAAAUUAUAAAAAUUUGGCGGUAAUUUAGUCCUUUCAGAGGAACCUGUCCUUUAAUCGAUGAUCCACGAUGGAUUUUACUUGAAUUUUAUUUUGUUUGUAUAUCUCUGUCAUUGAAUGUUUUAUUAGAAUAAUCUUCUUUAAUCAUUAUAAUAUGGUUAAUGUCAGGUCAAGGUGCAACUUUAUUCAAGGUUGAGAUGGGUUACAUUUAAUGUUUAUUUAUUGUUGCAAUUUUUGUUUUUAUUAUUGUUAAACAGGAUUUGAAAGUAAUUGUUAAUAACUAUUAAU